UCAAAAGUCACAGAGAACAAGACCAUCACCGUUAAGAUUAGAGCAAAUUGUGGCAUGGAUUCUAAAACUAUCACUUUGAAGGUCCAUCCUGAUUGUGCAAAACCACACGAAGACAGGAAGCAAGGGGCCCCAGCAACGACCCCAGUGACAGGAAGGAGCUUUGUGUUGAGCACAGAGGGGGAGGAAAAAAGUGAAAAAACACCAUCUCUUUAGCCUAGAGCUGAAGAACUUCUCCACACUCCUCCUCAAGACAUCGACGGGACAGGUCCUCUCCUCCACUUUGGUGGAAAAGGACUUCAUCUCAGCACUUCUACUUUUUCCUUCUCCACUCGACCUCGUCUCUGCACCACCUCGGUGGAACUCUGACAGUUUUUACUCUGUCCCGAUUCACGGGAGAAAAUAACCCGAAAGGGUAGAAAAACAAAAAAUAAAAAAUCAGACCCGAAAGGGUAUUAGAUAGACACUCCAUGUUCACCCACGGGUGAUAAGGGGAUCAAAAAAUAACGUUUGUAUUUAGUCUUUUGUCUUGAAUAAACGGGUUGACAUA